CAGUCGCCGCGGGAAUACGUAGGUGGCAAGCGUUGUCCGGAAUUAUUGGGCGUAAGGCGCGCGCAGGUGGUUUAAUAAGUCUGGAGUUAAAGGCUGUGGCUUAACCAUAGUACGCUUUGGAAACUGUUAGACUUGAGUGCAGAAGGGGAGAGUGGAAUUCCAUGUGUAGCGGUGAAAUGCGUAGAUAUAUGGAGGAACACCGGUGGCGAAAGCGGCUCUCUGGUCUGUCACUGACGCUGAGGCUCGAAAGCGUGGGUAGCGAACAGGAUUAGAUACCCCCGUAGUCCCUGUCUCUUAUACC
rnacentral:rRNA from 1 species